rnacentral:ncRNA from 1 species
CCGGCACCGGUUCACCCCUGCACAGGGGACCCGGGGCC